rnacentral:lncRNA from 10 species
GGGGGUGGGAAGCUGGAGCAACAGGGCCAGGAGGUGUGGGAGCGGGAGACACUAGAGUAACCUAUGUGCACAGCCUCUCCAUAUACCAUGUGCUGUUGCGCCUGCUAGUAAUCGACGACAUUAGGCAAGAGAAACAGCGGCUCCUCAAGUCCUGCCCAAAGACCGUCCAGAAACCCCAGCCUCCCGUCGCCUUCUCGCCGCCUCCGCUGGGAGCCGCAGAUCAGUCCAAGUUGACGGACAGGAGGCGAAAUGUGCAAAUGUUUAUGGUUUCAUCUGUAUGGAAAAGGAGCUCUGGUAACUUUGGCCAAGACUUUUCAGUAGGAAAUGCUUCAAAAUACAAAGCAAGAGCUAUUUUCAAGAAAGACCUUCUAAAUUUAUAUUAGAACCAUCUGAUGGAUGGCAGACAGCUGAACCAGGACAUAGUGAGAAGAAAGCCAUCUGAAAACCAGGAAGAGAGCCCUCACCAGAAUCUGACCAUGCUGGUGCCCUGAUCUUGGACUUUCAGCCU